rnacentral:rRNA from 1 species
ACGAACGCUGGCGGCAUGCCUAACACAUGCAAGUCGAACGAGACCUUCGGGUCUAGUGGCGCACGGGUGCGUAACGCGUGGGAAUCUGCCCUUGGGUUCGGGAUAACAGUUGGAAACGACUGCUAAUACCGGAUGAUGACUUCGGUCCAAAGAUUUAUCGCCCAGGGAUGAGCCCGCGUCGGAUUAGCUAGUUGGUGAGGUAAGAGCUCACCAAGGCGACGAUCCGUAGCUGGUCUGAGAGGAUGAUCAGCCACACUGGGACUGAGACACGGCCCAGACUCCUACGGGAGGCAGCAGUGGGGAAUAUUGGACAAUGGGCGAAAGCCUGAUCCAGCAAUGCCGCGUGAGUGAUGAAGGCCUUAGGGUUGUAAAGCUCUUUUACCCGGGAUGAUAAUGACAGUACCGGGAGAAUAAGCCCCGGCUAACUCCGUG